rnacentral:tRNA from 1 species
GCUUGUAGCUCAGGUGGUUAGAGCGCUGAUCUGAUAAGUCAGAGGUCGUUGGUUCAAGUCCAUCCAGGCC